rnacentral:rRNA from 1 species
UACGAAGGGGGCUAGCGUUGCUCGGAAUCACUGGGCGUAAAGCGCACGUAGGCGGCUUCUUAAGUCAGGGGUGAAAUCCCGGGGCUCAACCCCGGAACGGCCUUUGAUACUGGCAGUCUGGAGUCCGGAAGAGGUGAGUGGAAUUGUGAGUGUAGAGGUGAAAUUCGUAGAUAUUCGCAGGAACACCAGUGGCGAAGGCGGCUCACUGGUCCGGUACUGACGCUGAGGUGCGAAAGCGUGGGGAGCAAACAGG